ensembl:snoRNA SNORD1B small nucleolar RNA, C/D box 1B
CUGAGUCCAUGAUGAUGUAAAGUUAUCCCUGUCUGAAGGCAAAGGCCUUCCUGUGGAUUAUGGAUGUCUGAAGCUCAG